UACGUAGGGUGCGAGCGUUGCCCGGAUUUAUUGGGCGUAAAGGGCGCGUAGGCGGCUCGGCACGUCCGUUGUGAAAUCGCCCGGCUCAACUGGGCGGGGUCGGCGGAUACGGCGCGACUGGAGCAAGCUAGGGGGCAAUGGAAUUCCCGGUGUAGUGGUGGAAUGCGUAGAUAUCGGGAGGAACACCAGUGGCGAAGGCGACUACCUGGCCUGUUCUUGACGCUGAGGCGCGAAAGCUAGGGGAGCAAACGGG
rnacentral:rRNA from 1 species